CCGGCCUGAGAGGUGAUCGGCCACACUGGGACUGAGACACGCCCAGACUCUACGGGAGGCAGCAGUGGGGAAUAUUGCACAAUGGGCGAAAGCCUGAUGCAGCGACGCCGCGUGGGGGAUGACGGUCUUCGGAUUGUAAACCCCUUUCAGUAGGGACGAAGCGCAAGUGACGGUACCUGCAGAAGAAGCACCGGCUAAUACGUGCCAGCAGCCGCGGUAAUACGUAGGGUGCGAGCGUUGUCCGGAAUUACUGGGCGUAAAGAGCUCGUAGGCGGUUUGUCACGUCGUCUGUGAAAUCCCUCGGCUUAACCGGGGGCGUGCAGGCGAUACGGGCAGACUUGAGUACUACAGGGGAGACUGGAAUUCCUGGUGUAGCGGUGAAAUGCGCAGAUAUCAGGAGGAACACCGGUGGCGAAGGCGGGUCUCUGGGUAGUAACUGACGCUGAGGAGCGAAAGCAUGGGUAGCGAACAGGAUUAGAUACCCUGGUAGUCCAUGCCGUAAACGGUGGGCGCUAGGUGUGGGGUCCUUCCACGGACUCCGUGCCGUAGUAACGCA
rnacentral:rRNA from 1 species